AGCAGCCGCGGUAAUUCCAGCUCCAAUAGCGUAUAUUAAAGUUGUUGCAGUUAAAAAGCUCGUAGUUGAACUUCGAAAUUUGUUCAUUGGUCAGGUUUAACUGUCUGUACUGGUGUUACGAAUUUCUACCUUCUGAGGAAUCUUCAUGUCAUUAAUUUGGUGUGGGGGAGAAUCAGGACUGUUACUUUGAAAAAAUUAGAGUGUUUAAAGCAGGCUAACGUCUGAAUACAUUAGCAUGGAAUAAUAAAAUAGGACGGUUUGGUUCUAUUUUGUUGGUUUCUAGGAUCACCGUAAUGAUUAAUAGGGAUAGUUGGGGGCAUUAGUAUUCAAUUGUCAGAGGUGAAAUUCUUGGAUUUAUUGAAGACUAACUACUGCGAAAGCAUUUGCCAAGGAUGUUUUCAUUAAUCAAGAACGAAAGUUAGGGGAUCGAAGACGAUCAGAUACCGUCGUAGUCUUAACCAUAAACUAUGCCGACUAGGGAUCGGACGAAGUUAAUUUUUAAAUGACUCGUUCGGCACCUUACG
rnacentral:rRNA from 1 species